CAGUGGAGGACCAAUGGGAGGAUCUGGAUCUAUGAGAGGAAACAGCCUGAUGAACAUGAUGUCCAACCCAAUGACUCUGUUGAUGAUGAAUGCCUUUGGGAUCGAUCCUCCAGACCUCCCAGCAGCAAAUGCACGUGGGGGAGCGGCCGGUAGCCAGGCGGGAGGGUUCCUAUCAGCUCUUUUCGGCAACACCCAACCACAACCCCGGGUAUCCAACUCCUGGUCUUCUGCUGUCUUCGACCCUGUUCUUCCGGCCGGGGCUGGACCUAACGCCAACGAUCCUUUCGGCCUCGGGACUGCGGCUGUUUGAUUAUCCAAAUGAUGUGGACGACAUGGACUUGAGACCCUAACGCAGGAUUAUUGGCUGCUUCUUUUCUGAUGUGAGACCGUGGUAAACAACGCAGAACAACGUACAGGCACAACAUAUGACAAUCAACAGAACCGCAGACAGAUUCUUCUAGGGCUGGCUAACGAUAUAGAUCAUAAUCGUUAUCUAGAUUACUAUCGAUCGACUAUCGAUAAAUAUCGGAGACGUAACUUUGAGUAAAAUGCACAAGAAAAUCUGCAAGAAAUGAAUAUAUUUCACGUCAAUGGUGAUUGGAGAAAUGUUUAUUCAUGGGUUACUAUGGGAACAGCGUCCUGAACAUACUUUAGAAGCAGACCAUGAAUAAAGACCUAACUGGGUCUGUUGUGUGAGUCAAUUAAAACGUAAUUUAUCAAAAAGGUGUAUGAACGAUAUAAUCGAAUACACUAUUUUCAUAUCGACAAUCAUUACUAUUUUUCCUAUCGAAGGUAUUGCCGAUUACCGAUCUUUUCAGCCAGCCCUAGAUCCACCACAGAAGUGACGCCAUAUGGAUUAAAUAUUGAUAUUAUGGUUUUAUUUGACAAGAGCGAUAAUUCCUCACAUUCGGAAUUAUACUUUGUUGAACAAAUGCUAUCUACUCUCAGCCACUGGCAAUACUUAGUUAAUACUUAUAGGGGUCUGUACUUGAAACUUGUUCAUCAACAUAUACUUCUAGUCCAACUAUGUCUAUGGUUUUGGUCUCCAAAGCUUAAAAUUGUUUCAUUCUCUGUAACUGCGUUAUAUUUGACCAUCAAUACAUGUGAUCUUGACUUGUUCGAACCAUUUUUCCCCUUAAUAAAAUUGUAAAACAGUGA